rnacentral:lncRNA from 1 species
CGGGAGUGUCGGGGUAAGGCCGCGGACCCCUCCCAUGCCGCUGAGCAGUGGACAGCGGGGACUGGAGACCUCCAGGUGGAGGAAGGGGAACGAAGUCAAGAAGGCCACAUGUCCUGGCUUCCAGGCUUGGUGUCCUCAGAAGCCUCCAGAACGUCCAUGGAACCCGCCCCUGCGCCCACCGCCUCCUGCUGUCUUUCCAGCUGAGUUCCGGCUGCCCCUCACCCUCGGCUUCUUCACUCUGCCCCUCCCCAGCCAGCGCCCUGCUCCCCGGUCCUCAACCACCACCUUCCACCUGCCUGGGCCUUCAUCCCCUCCGACCUCCCCUUCCACACCAAACCGGCGUCCGUUUUCCUCCAGGCCUGCACCAGCACAGCUGAAGGGGAGAGAGACCCAACCUCAUCCACUGGGCCUCCCCUCAACCAGGGCCACAACCUCAAGGGGCCAUGCCACCUCCAACACCUAUUUCCCACCUUCUACUCUCUCCACACCCUGGGACACCACCCGCCUCUCUCAGCUGACGUUUUCCUUCUCGUUUUGUGUGCAUGGUGCUUGUGUGAGAAAGUGGACACACACCUGGUUCAUUGUGGGAGAAUGUCAUGCAGAGCCCGG